UAUUUUUCUUACCACUGCCUCCUUCAGGUGCUCACACACAGGGAAGGAAGGAAAGUGCCAUUCACAAGAUCCUUCUGUGAACCUAUUCUGCAAAAGAGGGACUUUUUCUCCCUGCCUCUUUUCUGCUUCACCUGUGAACGAGAAUUAAGAGUGCAAAUUCUCAUCGGUGUUACAGCGCUCACCAAAAUUGAUGGCAUGUCCUUGGGCUGUUUCCUGUUCUCAGAAGCUUUUGAUUUGGGAAUUCCUGUGUCUCAGCUCUCCUCUGCUUCACACUGUUUGACUUCUUUUCAGCUUCUCAAAGCAGGUGGUAGGAACUCGGCUUUUUGCUCCUGUGAGGCAGAGUUUUUAACUCCUAGUCCCUAAAUAAGUGUACAAUGUUGAAAUACGUGUGCCUGAAGCCCUUUGAUGCUCUGAUUGUGCUGGUGGGAACACCAGUGGCUUUAACUGACUUGUACAAUGUUGGUAGAUACAAUAUGGGAUCCAGUAGUGGAAAUUAUUCCAGUAACUGACAUUCCGGAUGAGGCUAUCUCUUUUUUUCAGUGUUCAUUCUGAACAUUUCUGUUGCCUUCAGUAAAAAAUCUUGCUUCUUUGUAAGGGGAGAAAAGGGGCAAGAGAAGUGGAGGAGCAAGUGAAGUUAAAUCCUUAGGGAUUAAAAAGAUUUCAGUCUAUUAUGCCUAAAAUGUUUUUUUGUCUAAGUUUUCAGUAAACCAUUAAAUGAAAAAUUACUUUUUCUUUUUUAAGUCUUAUACACAAAAGCAGUCAAGUUAACAUUUAUUUACAAAACCUGGAAGCAUAAAAUCAUAGGGAAGUAUGCAGGUGUCAUCACAGUGUAAUUUUAACUUUUAACCUUACUUUUAACCUAGGCUUUGUUCAUCUUUUAAUAAUGUUAUUGUUAUGUUUGCUACUUUUUUUUUUUUAUCCAAAGGGUUAUGAAAGCAUAGAUUAAUGUUUCUCAGUAGAAAAAAAAAAAUACUGUAGUGAGUUAUUGGUGCUUUCUGCUUUACAGAACACUGCAAAUCUAGCUUAACAGGAAAGCCCUAUGCUAUUCUUUUCGGAUUUCUGGGUGGCAGAGAGCAUCCCAUCAGUGCCCUGAUACCUCCAACCAGCUGCUGCCUCCCUGCAAGGUUCACAGCUCCUCCAUCUUAAAAAAAAAAAAUAGAAAAAAAAGAAGGGCUGGGGAUGUAAGAGAUUAGAUACAGCCUAACCAUUAGGUGUUACCAUUACAGUGAAACAGAGAAGCCCCCCAGGCUGUCCUGGCAGGCCAGGGGCUGCAGGCACAGGGGGACCCUGCUGCCAUCACCGUCUUCCAGCGCCUGCUCGGGCCUUCUGCUGCCGUCUGAUGCUCUCGGUGCUGGGGAGAAAAUGCACACUUGUGUCUGGAACACAGCUCAGGUUAGCCAAAUCAUCGCUUCUUGACAUUUUUUCCCCCUGAAGCUGCCAUUAUUGCUAGCUGAAAUGUUAGCAUUACAAAAGCGAACAAGUAUAGUCAAUAAAUCUCUUUUAAUAAAGUAGA
rnacentral:lncRNA from 1 species